rnacentral:rRNA from 1 species
UAAUACGAACUGUGCGAACGUUAUUCGGAAUCACUGGGCUUAAAGGGUGCGUAGGCGGUUUGUUAAGUCAGGUGUGAAAUCCCCCGGCUCAACCGGGGAACAGCGCUUGAAACUAGCAGACUAGAGUGAGGUAAGGGACCACGGAACUUCUGGUGGAGCGGUGAAAUGUGUAGAUAUCAGAAGGAACGCCGGUGGCGAAAGCGGUGGUCUGGGCCUUGUCUGACGCUGAGGCACGAAAGCUAGGGGAGUGAACGGG